rnacentral:rRNA from 1 species
AUUGAACGCUGGCGGAAUGCUUUACACAUGCAAGUCGAGCGGCAGCACGGGGGCAACCCUGGUGGCGAGCGGCGAACGGGUGAGUAACACAUCGGAACAUGCCCAGUCGUGGGGGAUAACACUUCGAAAGAAGUGCUAAUACCGCAUACGUCCUGAGGGAGAAAGCGGGGGAUCUUCGGACCUCGCGCGAUUGGAGUGGCCGAUGUCAGAUUAGCUAGUUGGUGGGGUAAAGGCCUACCAAGGCAACGAUCUGUAGCUGGUCUGAGAGGAUGAUCAGCCACACUGGGACUGAGACACGGCCCAGACUCCUACGGGAGGCAGCAGUGGGGAAUUUUGGACAAUGGGGGCAAACCUGAUCCAGCCAUUCCGCGUGAGUGAAGAAGGCCUUCGGGUUGUAAAGCUCUUUCGGCAGGAACGAAACGGCGAGCUCUAACAUAGCUUGCUAAUGACGGUACCUGAAGAAGAAGCACCGGCUAACUACGUGCCAGCCGCCGCCGUAAUAC